GAGUUUGAUCCUGGCUCAGGACGAACGCUGGCGGCGUGCUUAACACAUGCAAGUCGAACGAUGAAGUUAUGACGGAGGCUUCGGCCGACUGAAUGAUGGAUUAGUGGCGGACGGGUGAGUAACGCGUGGGUAACCUACCCUGUACAGGGGGAUAACAGUCAGAAAUGACUGCUAAUACCGCAUAAGACCACAGCACCGCAUGGUGCAGGGGUAAAAACUCCGGUGGUAUAAGAUGGACCCGCGUUGGAUUAGCUUGUUGGUAGGGUAACGGCCUACCAAGGCGACGAUCCAUAGCCGGCCUGAGAGGGUGAACGGCCACAUUGGGACUGAGACACGGCCCAGACUCCUACGGGAGGCAGCAGUGGGGAAUAUUGCACAAUGGGGGAAACCCUGAUGCAGCGACGCCGCGUGAAGGAAGAAGUAUCUCGGUAUGUAAACUUCUAUCAGCAGGGAAGAAAAUGACGGUACCUGACUAAGAAGCCCCGGCUAACUACGUGCCAGCCGCCGCGGUAAUAC
rnacentral:rRNA from 1 species